rnacentral:rRNA from 1 species
GAUGAACGCUGGCGGCGUGCCUAACACAUGCAAGUCGAGCGGGAAACACGCGAACGAGAUUUCGAUCAAGGGAGCGUGUGGAGAGCGGCGGACGGGUGAGUAACGCGUAGGCAACCUGCCCCAUAUCGGGGGAUAGCCUCGGGAAACCGGGAUUAAUACCUCAUAACGCCGGGGGGCCACAUGGUUUUCCGGCCAAAGAUUAAUCGAUAUGGGAUGGGCCUGCGUCUGAUUAGCUGGUUGGUGGGGUAACGGCUCACCAAGGCGACGAUCAGUAGCCGACCUGAGAGGGUAAUCGGCCACAUUGGAACUGAGACACGGUCCAAACUCCUACGGGAGGCAGCAGUGGGGAAUAUUGCGCAAUGGGCGAAAGCCUGACGCAGCAACGCCGCGUGAGCGAGGAAGGCCUUUGGGUCGUAAAGCUCUGUCCUUGGGGAAGAAGAGAUGACGGUACCCAGGGAGGAAGCCCCGGCUAACUACGUGCCAGCAGCCGCGGUAAUACGUAGGGGGCGAGCGUUAUCCGGAAUUAUUGGGCGUAAAGAGUGCGUAGGUGGUCUUGUAAGCGCGGGGUUUAAGGCGAUGGCUUAACCAUCGUACGCCUCGCGAACUGCGGGACUUGAGUGCGGGAGAGGGAAGCGGAAUUCCUAGUGUAGCGGUGAAAUGCGUAGAUAUUAGGAGGAACACCAGUGGCGAAGGCGGCUUCCUGGACCGUAACUGACACUGAGGCACGAAAGCGUGGGGAGCAAACAGGAUUAGAUACCCUGGUAGUCCACGCCGUAAACGAUGAGCACCAGGUGUCGGGGCCGCAAGGCUUCGGUGCCGCAGUUAACGCAUUAAGUGCUCCGCCUGGGGAGUACGCGCGCAAGCGUGAAACUCAAAGGAAUUGACGGGGACCCGCACAAGCAGCGGAGCAUGUGGUUUAAUUCGAAGCAACACGAAGAACCUUACCAGGGCUUGACAUCCCCCCGACAGCCUUAUAAAAGAGGCCUCCCUUCGGGGCGGGGGAGACAGGUGGUGCAUGGUUGUCGUCAGCUCGUGUCGUGAGAUGUUGGGUUAAGUCCCGCAACGAGCGCAACCCUUGUCAUUAGUUGCCAUCCUUAAGUUGGGCACUCUAGUGAGACUGCCGGGGAUAACUCGGAGGAAGGUGGGGAUGACGUCAAAUCAUCAUGCCCCUUAUGUUCUGGGCUACACACGUGCUACAAUGGCCGGCACAACGAGAAGCGAGGCCGCGAGGCGGAGCGAAUCUCAAAAACCGGUCCCAGUUCGGAUCGCAGGCUGCAACUCGCCUGCGUGAAGUCGGAGUUGCUAGUAAUCGCGGAUCAGAACGCCGCGGUGAAUGCGUUCCCGGG